UGCUCAUCAAUUAUUUGGACCCUGAAGGUAGAGUUGCUUGUUUUUUAAAAUGUCCAGACAGAAAAAUUUAAAUAUCAGGUUAGCAAUAUUUUAAACUGGACAUUUGAGAUUCCCAAUCGGACAUGUCAGGGGCAUAUGACCCUUUCCGGACCCCUGAUGCCAAGUAAAAGCGAUUGCAAUUACAUUUAGCCACCAUUUUGUAACUGUUUUUGUCUAAGAUAAGAGGAAAGUAUCUAUCUUCUGCAUAAAUCUGAUAUACAGGCAAAGAUGCUGACUAAUGAUCGUUAGAGAAGCCAUGUGUCUUGUGAUGUUGCAGAAGUUAAGUGUCUGAGAAGUGAUGGUUAUGAAGGUGUAAUGUCGGACUAGUGAUCAUUGCAAGGGUUAUGUGUAUAACAAGUGAUGGUUAUGAAGGUGUAAUGUCGGACUAGUGGUCAUUGCAAGGGUUAUGUGUAUAACAAGUGAUGGUUAUGAAGGUGUAAUGUCGGAUUAGUGAUAAUUGCAAGGGUUAUGUGUAUAACAAGUGAUGGUUAUGAAGGUGUAAUGUCGGAUUAGUGAUCAUUGCAAGGGUUAUGUGUAUAACAAGUGAUGGUUAUGAAGGUGUAAUGUCGGACUAGUGAUCAUUGCAAGGGUUAUGUGUGUAACAAGUGAUGGUUAUGAAGGUGUAAUGUCGGAUUAGUGAUUAUUGCAAGGGUUAUGUGUAUAACAAGUGAUGGUUAUGAAGGUGUAAUGUCGGACUAGUGAUCAUUGCAAGGGUUGUGUGUAACAAGUGAUGGUUAUGAAGGUGUAAUGUUGGACUAGUGAUCAUUGCAAGGGUUAUGUGUAUAACAAGUGAUGGUUAUGAAGGGGUAAUGUCGGAUUAGUGAUCAUUGCAAGGGUUAUAUGUAUAACAAGUGAUGGUUAUGAAGGUGUAAUGUCGGACUGGUGAUCAUUGCAAGGGUUGUGUGUAACAAGUGAUGGUUAUGAAGGUGUAAUGUCGGACUAGUGAUCAUUGCAAGGGUUGUGUGUAACAAGUGAUGGUUAUGAAGGUGUAAUGUCGGACUAGUGAUCAUUGCAAGGGUUAUGUGUGUAACAAGUGAUGGUUAUGAAGGUGUAAUGUCGGACUAGUGAUCAUUGUAAGGGUUGUGUGUAACAAGUGAUGGUUAUGAAGGUGUAAUGUCGGACUAGUGAUCAUUGCAAGGGUUGUGUGUAACAAGUGAUGGUUAUGAAGGUGUAAUGUCGGACUAGUGAUCAUUGCAAGGGUUGUGUGUAACAAGUGAUGGUUAUGAAGGUGUAAUGUCGGACUAGUGAUCAUUGCAAGGGUUAUGUG